rnacentral:rRNA from 1 species
UACGUAGGGUGCAAGCGUUGUCCGGAAUUAUUGGGCGUAAAGAGCUCGUAGGCGGUCUGUUGCGUCGGCUGUGAAAACCCGGGGCUCAACCCCGGGCCUGCAGCCGAUACGGGCAGACUAGAGGUAGGUAGGGGAGAAUGGAAUUCCCGGUGUAGCGGUGAAAUGCGUAGAUAUCAAGAGGAACACCUGCGGCGAAGGCGGGUUGCUGGGCCGACACUGACGCUGAGGCGCGAAAGCUAGGGGAGCGAACGGG